UACGUAGGGUGCAAGCGUUGUCCGGAAUUAUUGGGCGUAAAGAGCUCGUAGGCGGUCUGUCGCGUCUGCUGUGAAAACUCAGGGCUUAACCCUGAGCUUGCAGUGGGUACGGGCAGACUAGAGUGCGGUAGGGGAGACUGGAAUUCCUGGUGUAGCGGUGGAAUGCGCAGAUAUCAGGAGGAACACCGAUGGCGAAGGCAGAUCUCUGGGCCGUAACUGACGCUGGAGGAAGCGAAAGCGUGGGGAGCGAACAGG
rnacentral:rRNA from 1 species